AACGAACGCUGGCGGCAUGCCUAACACAUGCAAGUCGAACGAAGGCUUCGGCCUUAGUGGCGCACGGGUGCGUAACGCGUGGGAAUCUGCCCUUUGCUUCGGAAUAACAGUUAGAAAUGACUGCUAAUACCGGAUGAUGUCGCAAGACCAAAGAUUUAUCGGCAAAGGAUGAGCCCGCGUAGGAUUAGCUAGUUGGUGGGGUAAAGGCCUACCAAGGCGACGAUCCUUAGCUGGUCUGAGAGGAUGAUCAGCCACACUGGGACUGAGACACGGCCCAGACUCCUACGGGAGGCAGCAGUGGGGAAUAUUGGACAAUGGGCGAAAGCCUGAUCCAGCAAUGCCGCGUGAGUGAUGAAGGCCUUAGGGUUGUAAAGCUCUUUUAUCCGGGAUGAUAAUGACAGUACCGGGAGAAUAAGCUCCGGCUAACUCCGUG
rnacentral:rRNA from 1 species